rnacentral:rRNA from 1 species
GUCCACGCAGUAAACGAUGAUCACUAGCUGUUUGCGAUACACUGUAAGCGGCACAGCGAAAGCGUUAAGUGAUCCACCUGGGGAGUACGCCGGCAACGGUGAAACUCAAAAGGAAUUGACGGGGGCCCGCACAAGCGGAGGAACAUGUGGUUUAAUUCGAUGAUACGCGAGGAACCUUACCCGGGUUUGAACGCAUUUCGACCGCUCUGGAAACAGAGCCUCUAGCAAUAGCGAUUUGCGAGGUGCUGCAUGGUUGUCGU